CGGGUAUAGUUUAGUGGUAGAACCCCAGCCUUCCAAGCUGGUUGCGUCGGUUCGAUUCCGUCUACCCGC
rnacentral:tRNA from 1 species